rnacentral:rRNA from 1 species
AGCGAACGCUGGCGGCAGGCUUAACACAUGCAAGUCGAGCGGGCACUUUCGGGUGUCAGCGGCGGACGGGUGAGUAACGCGUGGGAACGUGCCCUCUGGUUCGGAAUAACUCAGGGAAACUUGAGCUAAUACCGGAUACGCCCUUUUGGGGAAAGGCUUGCUGCCGGAGGAUCGGCCCGCGUCUGAUUAGCUAGUUGGUGAGGUAACGGAUCACCAAGGCGACGAUCAGUAGCUGGUCUGAGAGGAUGAUCAGCCACACUGGGACUGAGACACGGCCCAGACUCCUACGGGAGGCAGCAGUGGGGAAUAUUGGACAAUGGGCGCAAGCCUGAUCCAGCCAUGCCGCGUGAGUGAUGAAGGCCUUAGGGUUGUAAAGCUCUUUUAUCCGGGACGAUAAUGACGGUACCGGAGGAAUAAGCCCCGGCUAACUUCGUG